rnacentral:miRNA from 1 species
CCUGCACACCGGUGCUUACCA